UGUGUGGUUGUCAUAGGUGGUUACUGUUGGCUGGUUAUUGGGGAUGGUUAUUGUGUGGUUAUCAUAGGUGGUUACUGUUGGCUGGUUAUUGGGGAUGGUUAUUGUGUGGUUGUCAUAGGUGGUUACUGUUGGCUGGUUAUUGGGGAUGGUUAUUGUGUGGUUAUCAUAGGUGGUUACUGUUGGCUGGUUAUUGGGGAUGGUUAUUGUGUGGUUGUCAUAGGUGGUUACUGUUGGCUGGUUAUUGGGGAUGGUUAUUGUGUGGUUGUCAUAGGUGGUUACUGUUGGCUGGUUAUUGGGGAUGGUUAUUGUGUGGUUAUCAUAGGUGGUUACUGUUGGCUGGUUAUUGGGGAUGGUUAUUGUGUGGUUGUCAUAGGUGGUUACUGUUGGCUGGUUAUUGGGGAUGGUUAUU